AAUGAUCUGCCAAUGUGUGUAUGACACUUGGCUCUUUCCUAUAGGUAUUUCAGCCACAAAAUCUCAACCAUUCAAGUGAUCUAAGCUAUAACUUAGUCACCACCAGCUGUAAUAGUAAUAGUAAAUUAGUAACAAACAAUUUACACAUCAACACUCUCUUCUAAAUGUUUUACUGAUUUUACUCCAAGUAACUCCCUUAGAUAGCAAAACCUUUCCCUUGGCAAUGCCUUUGUGAAGAUGUCUGCAUUUUGAUCUUGACCUCUGCAAUAUAUU
rnacentral:lncRNA from 1 species